rnacentral:rRNA from 1 species
GUGCCAGCAGCCGCGGUAACACGUAGGGUGCGAGCGUUGUCCGGAUUAUUGGGCGUAAAGAGCUCGUAGGCGGUGUGUCGCGUCGAUCGUGAAAACCUGUGGCUUAACUGUGGGCGUGCGGUCGAUACGGGCAUCACUGGAGUUCGGCAGGGGAGACUGGAAUUCCUGGUGUAGCGGUGAAAUGCGCAGAUAUCAGGAGGAACACCGGUGGCGAAGGCGGGUCUCUGGGCCGAUACUGACGCUGAGGAGCGAAAGCGUGGGGAGCGAACAGGAUUAGAUACCCUGGUAGUCC